AUUGAACGCUGGCGGAAUGCUUUACACAUGCAAGUCGAACGGCAGCACGGGGCAACCUGGUGGCGAGUGGCGAACGGGUGAGUAAUACAUCGGAACGUGCCCAAUCGUGGGGGAUAACGUAGCGAAAGUUACGCUAAUACCGCAUACGAUCUACGGAUGAAAGCGGGGGAUCGCAAGACCUCGCGCGAGUGGAGCGGCCGAUGUCAGAUUAGGUAGUUGGUGGGGUAAAGGCUCACCAAGCCAACGAUCUGUAGCUGGUUUGAGAGGACGACCAGCCACACUGGAACUGAGACACGGUCCAGACUCCUACGGGAGGCAGCAGUGGGGGAUAUUGCACAAUGGAGGAAACUCUGAUGCAGCGAUGCCGCGUGGAGGAAGAAGGUUUUCGGAUUGUAAACUCCUGUCGCAUGGGACGAUAAUGACGGUACCAUGUGAGGAAGCACCGGCUAACUACGUGCCAGCAGCCGCGGUAAGGUCACGUCGCG
rnacentral:rRNA from 1 species